UAAUAAGUGUUUUAUGGCACUUUUUAAAUCCAUAUCCACCUUGUGUGCAAUGUCAGUCGAUCUUCUUCAUGGAGAUCGACCAAACAUCAACCUUUAUUUUUUAACUCUUUGUCUGAAAAAUAUUAUAAUAAACAAUUCAAAAUA
rnacentral:misc_RNA from 1 species